ensembl:lncRNA
GCCUUAUGUCCUCGGAUUUGAUGAUUCACACUCAUAAAAAUGUCACUGGGCUGCCGGCCAACACAUUAGCACCGAUAUUUGUGCUGAAUGAGAAGGUGCAAAACAUCAAGUGCUGUAGAGAUAAGACAGAGCAGUGUGAUCCAGGAUGAUCAGAGAAGACUUCCUGGAAGAGAUGAUGAAACUGAAGCACAGACUGAAUAAGUAAUUUACCAAGCUAUUAAAUAAUGGAGCUGGAUUGCAAACCUAUAAGAAGUCAUUGGAACUUUUUUUUAAAUCAGGAGAUCAUCAGUGACCUGCACUUUAAACUCAGAACAAUCCUGGGAGGGAAGACUUGCUAUUCCAGUAUCGCAGAUGCAAGGAACUGAGGCAGAGAAAGUAAUUUUCCUGUGGUCUUAUA